GAUGAACGCUGGCGGCGUGCCUAAUACAUGCAAGUCGAGCGAACAGACGAGGAGCUUGCUCCUCUGACGUUAGCGGCGGACGGGUGAGUAACACGUGGAUAACCUACCUAUAAGACUGGGAUAACUUCGGGAAACCGGAGCUAAUACCGGAUAAUAUAUUGAACCGCAUGGUUCAAUAGUGAAAGACGGUUUUGCUGUCACUUAUAGAUGGAUCCGCGCCGCAUUAGCUAGUUGGUAAGGUAACGGCUUACCAAGGCAACGAUGCGUAGCCGACCUGAGAGGGUGAUCGGCCACACUGGAACUGAAACACGGUCCAGACUCCUACGGGAGGCAGCAGUAGGGAAUCUUCCGCAGUGGGCGGAAGCCUGACGGAGCAACGCCGCGUGAGUGAUGAAGGUCUUCGGAUCGUAAAACUCUGUUAUUAGGGAAGAACAAAUGUGUAAGUAACUAUGCACGUCUUGACGGUACCUAAUCAGAAAGCCACGGCUAACUACGUG
rnacentral:rRNA from 1 species